CUAUCUUUUCCAUGUUUUGUGCUCCAAUUUACCACCGCAUGUAUACUCUUCCAUUUAGGCAAUUAGUAUGUUGAAGUCGUUGCACCGCUGUUGUUCUCUCCGGAACCUAUAUUGAUAUAUAAUUGUGACCGAGACUUUUGAUUGGGUCUCCUCUGCUCUCUGCGCUCCGAAUGAAGCUCCGACUCCGAAGGGACACAAACAUGAAAGCUUCCGCUUCCUCUCUUCUGAAUUUGCAAUUUUGAUGAUGACGUAUUUUCUGAUUCGUAGCCUAUUUGCUUUGAAAUUCGUUCCUUGCACCGAGUCCGCUCCCUUUUCUCUUGUAAUCGACCUGCAUUUUAUACUUCUUCAAAAUAAGAGUUGUUGUCAACGUUGAGCUUCCAUGUUGAUAAUACGCCGCAUCUCCAGUGGGGUUGCAUACUCCAGUUCUGACAAAGGCAAUCUGAUGCUGCCAUUUUAGUAACUGUGUGAGCAAGCUGGUUUUCUUCUCUAGGGGUCCAAGUUAGACCACAAUUUGAUAUUGCUCCUUUUCUAUCAUCCUUUCUAAAAGCAGCAUCCACAUUAGCCUUUAACCAGUCUUUCAGUGGAGUCCCCCAUCUGAUCAGGUCACAAGCCCAAUAAUUUAUACACACAACAUAGCCGCCGCCCCAUUCUUCCCACCCGCCAAUUGGGCAUUGGCCAACUUGGAUAAAUUCCUUCUCACCAUUCUUAUGUCACCAUAUCAUUCUUAAUCUUAAAUUUUGAGACUUAAAAACUAAAAUUGAUAGAAACCUAUUAUAGUAUUCUGUUUCUUUUAACUCUAUAUUUUUUAGUUUUCUGUUGGAAAAAUUC